rnacentral:rRNA from 1 species
UACGAAGGGGGCUAGCGUUGCUCGGAAUCACUGGGCGUAAAGCGCACGUAGGCGGAUCUUUAAGUCAGGGGUGAAAUCCUGGAGCUCAACUCCAGAACUGCCUUUGAUACUGAAGAUCUCGAGUCCGGAAGAGGUGAGUGGAACUCCGAGUGUAGAGGUGAAAUUCGUAGAUAUUCGGAAGAACACCAGUGGCGAAGGCGGCAUCCUGGACCGGUAUUGACGCUGAGGCGCGAAAGCCAGGGGAGCAAACGGG